rnacentral:rRNA from 1 species
CCUACGGGAGGCAGCAGUAAGGAAUAUUGGUCAAUGGACGAAAGUCUGAACCAGCCAUGCCGCGUGAAGGAUGACGGCCCUCUGGGUUGUAAACUUCUUUUAUAUGGGACGAAAAAAGGGAAUUCUUUCUCACUUGACGGUACCAUAGGAAUAAGCACCGGCUAACUCCGUGCCAGCAGCCGCGGUAAUACGGAGGGUGCAAGCGUUAUCCGGAUUCACUGGGUUUAAAGGGUGCGUAGGUGGGUAGGUAAGUCAGUGGUGAAAUCCCCGAGCUUAACUCGGAAACUGCCAUUGAUACUAUCUAUCUUGAAUAUUUUGGAGGUGAGCGGAAUAUGUCAUGUAGCGGUGAAAUGCUUAGAUAUGACAUAGAACACCAAUUGCGAAGGCAGCUCACUACGAAAUUAUUGACACUGAGGCACGAAAGCGUGGGGAUCAAACAGGAUUAGAUACCCUGGUAGUCCACGCCCUAAACGAUGGAUACUCGACAUACANACGAUACACUGUUGGUUGUCUGAGACGAAGACGAUAAGUAAGUACCACCUACGGAAGGUAACGGUAACCGGACCGAAGGUUAGGUUAAACGUAACGUUAAAGUUAAAGUAAGUUAGGACGGCGNGAGAGCGACGACGACGACACGAGGAGGAG